CACAAGACGAACACCUUACAGCUAAUGACUCUUUAACGGUAUCGUUCAAGCCAGGAAAAGUACCCUUUUCUAUUGAAGGCACAACAGAUCCCGACAGAUCAAGCUAUUCUCCAAAGGUUCAUACAUUGUGUAUUGUGUUUCUGUGUUCCAU